GACGAACGCUGGCGGCAGGCCUAACACAUGCAAGUCGAGCGAGCGGCGGACGGGGGGGGAAGGUAUGGGGACCGCCCGAUAGGGGGGGAUAACUACUGGAAACGUUAUCUAAUAACGCGCAAUAGCUGAUUACGCAGAUGGGAGUGGCUAGUAGGUGAGGUAAUGGCUCACCUAGGCGACGAUCCCUAGGUGGUCGGAGAGGAUGAUCAGCCGCACUGGGACUGAGACACGGCCCAGACUCCUACGGAGGCAGCAGUGGGGAAUAUUGCACAAUGGGCGCAAGCCUGAUGCAGCCAUGCCGCGUGUAUGAAGAAGGCCCUAGGGUCGUAAAGUACUUUUGGUCGGGAGGCGUUACCGACAGAAGAAGCAACGGCUAACUCCGUGCCAGCAGCCGCGGUAAUUC
rnacentral:rRNA from 1 species